AUCACUUCUCGGCCUUUUGGCUAAGAUCAAGAGUGGUAUCUGCUCUUAUCAGUUCAAUAUCAGAUAUGUCCUCUGAUAAGGACAAUAUAUUAAAUGGAUUUUUGGAGCAGAGUGUUGGCUGUUGCUCCAUCCACUCCAUGCAUCGAACUGGUGUUGCAGCAUCUCCAGGAAUGAUGCACAGAAA
ensembl:snRNA U2 U2 spliceosomal RNA